rnacentral:rRNA from 1 species
UACGUCGGGGGCUAGCGUUGUCCGGAAUCAUUGGGCGUAAAGCGCGUGUAGGCGGUCCGGUAAGUCCGCUGUGAAAGUCGGGGGCUCAACCCUCGGAUGCCGGUGGAUACUGUCGGGCUUGAGUACGGAAGAGGCGAGUGGAAUUCCUGGUGUAGCGGUGAAAUGCGCAGAUAUCAGGAGGAACACCAAUUGCGAAGGCAGCUCGCUGGGACGUUACUGACGCUGAGACGCGAAAGCGUGGGGAGCAAACAGG